rnacentral:rRNA from 1 species
UACGUAGGUGGCAAGCGUUGUCCGGAUUUACUGGGCGUAAAGGGCGUGCAGGCGGUUUGUUAAGUGCAGAGUGAAAGCUCCCGGCUCAACUGGGAGAGGUCUUUGCAUACUGGCAAACUCGAGGGAGGCAGAGGAAAGUGGAAUUCCCGGUGUAGUGGUGAUAUGCGUAGAUAUCGGGAGGAACACCUGUGGCGAAGGCGGCUUUCUGGGCCUUACCUGACGCUGAGACGCGAAAGCGUGGGGAGCGAACCGGG